AUUGAACGCUGGCGGCAGGCCUAACACAUGCAAGUCGAGCGAGCGGCGGACGGGUGAGUAAUGUCUGGGAAACUGCCUGAUGGAGGGGGAUAACUACUGGAAACGGUAGCUAAUACCGCAUACCAUCAGAUGUGCCCAGAUGGGAUUAGCUAGUAGGUGGGGUAACGGCCCACCUAGGCGACGAUCCCUAGCGGGUCUGAGAGGAUGACCAGCAACACUGGAACUGAGCAACGGUCCAGAGUCCUACGGAAGGCAGCAGUGGGGAUUAGUGAACAAUGGGAGCAAGCCUGAUGCAGCCAUGCCGCGGGAGUGAAGAAGGCCUUCGGGUUGUAAAGCACGUUCAGCGGGGAGGCGUUACCCGCAGAAGAAGCACCGGCUAACUCAGUGCCAGCAGCCGCGGUAAAC
rnacentral:rRNA from 1 species